rnacentral:rRNA from 1 species
CCUACGGGUGGCAGCAGUGGGGAAUAUUGGACAAUGGGCGAAAGCCUGAUCCAGCCAUGCCGCGUGUGUGAAGAAGGCCUUCGGGUUGUAAAGCACUUUCAGUGGGGAAGAAAGCCUUGGGGCUAAUACCCUCGAGGAAGGACAUCACCCACAGAAGAAGCACCGGCUAACUCCGUGCCAGCAGCCGCGGUAAUACGGAGGGUGCGAGCGCUAAUCGGAAUUACUGGGCGUAAAGCGCGCGUAGGCGGUCUGAUAAGCCGGUUGUGAAAGCCCCGGGCUCAACCUGGGAACGGCAUCCGGAACUGUCAGGCUAGAGUGCAGGAGAGGAAGGUAGAAUUCCCGGUGUAGCGGUGAAAUGCGUAGAGAUCGGGAGGAAUACCAGUGGCGAAGGCGGCCUUCUGGACUGACACUGACGCUGAGGUGCGAAAGCGUGGGUAGCAAACAGGAUUAGAUACCCCAGUAGUC